rnacentral:rRNA from 1 species
UUGACGGUACCCUACUAGAAAGGAGCCGCUAACUUCGUGCCAGAAGCGUCGGUAAUACGGGGGCUCCAAGCGUUAUCCGGUGUUAUUGGGCGUAAAGAGUCGUGUAGGUGGUUGGGUAAGUUAUCUUUCAAAUAUCUUUGCUUAACAAAGAGGAGGGGGAUAAUACUGCUCGACUAGAAUUUUCUCAAGGGAGAUCGGAACUGAGGGAGGAGUAGUGAAAUGCGUUGAUACCCUCGGGAACACCAGUGGCGUAGGCGGAUCUCUGGGAGAAGAUUGACACUGAGACACGAAAGCUAGGGGAGCGAAGCAGAUUAGAGACCUGCGUAGUCCUAGCCGUAAACGCAUGCUUGCUAGCUGCAUGAAUCUACCUUCGGGUGGUAUCGUGUGGCGAAGGUAACCCGUUAAGCAAGCCGCCUGGAAAGUACGGCCGCAAGGCUGAAAUUCAAAGGAAUUGGCGGGGAGGCACACAACCAGUGGAACAUGUGGUUUAAUUCGAGACUAACCGAAGAACCUCACCAGGGUUUGACAUGUAGCUGCACGUCUUAAGAAAUUAAGACUCUCUUGAAGGUGCUACACAGGUGCUGCAUGGCUGUCGUCAGCUCGUUCCGUGAGGAGUGCCCUUAAGUGGGACAACGAGCGCAACCCCUAUUACAUGUUAGAAACGUCAUGUAAGACUGCCUUGCCAUUUGGCGGGGAGGAAGGAGGGGCAGACGUCAAGUCCGCAUGGUCCUUAUGCCCUGGGCUACACACAUGUUACAAUGAGUACGGCAAUGAGUCUGUCGCGAGCACGUAAGUGUAAGCUAAUCUCUUAAAUGUACUCUCAGUGGGGAUUGAGGUCUGCAACUCGACCUCAUGAACACGGAAUUGGUAGUAAUCGCGGGUCAGCUAUACCGCGGUGAAUACGUUCUUGCCUCUUGCACACACCGCCCGUCAAACCAGCAAAGU